GGCGAACGCUGGCGGCAGGCUUAACACAUGCAAGUCGAACGCACCUUCGGGUGAGUGGCAGACGGGUGAGGAACACGUGGGAACGUGCCUCUUGGUUCGGAAUAACUCAGGGAAACUUGUGCUAAUACCGGAUAAGCCCUUCGGGGGAAAGAUUUAUCGCCAAAAGAUCGGCCCGCGUCUGAUUAGCUAGUUGGUGAGGUAAAGGCUCACCAAGGCGACGAUCAGUAGCUGGUCUGAGAGGAGGGUCAGCCACACUGGGACUGAGACACGGCCCAGACUCCUACGGGAGGCAGCAGUGGGGAAUAUUGGACAAUGGGCGAAAGCCUGAUCCAGCCAUGCCGCGUGAGUGAUGAAGGUCUUCGGAUUGUAAAGCUCUUUUGGCGGGGACGAUAAUGACGGUACCCGCAGAAUAAGCCCCGGCUAACUUCGUGCCAGCAGCCGCCGCGGUAACAC
rnacentral:rRNA from 1 species